UUGAUCAAUCUCGGACCAACUAGGGUACGUGUAGCCGGUUGCAGGAUUAGUUGAACCUGGCUGAAUAUUGCCGGAAAUUAGAUCGUAAAAAUGCGCGCCAUUAUGUUGAUUGAUAAUGCUUUGAAUAACCGUAGCAUCAUCUUCCGUUACCGGC
rnacentral:misc_RNA from 1 species